AAUGAACGUUGGCGGCAUGGAUUAGGCAUGCAAGUCGAGCGAGAAGUGUAGCAAUACACGGAAAGCGGCGGAAGGGAGAGUAAUACGUGGGAAUCUGCCCUUAGACCUGGGAUAGCAGCGGGAAGCUGCUGGUAAUACCAGAUAAUGUCUAUGGACCAAAGGUGUGAUUCCGUCUAGGGAUGAGCCCACGUCCUAUUAGCUAGUUGGUAGGGUAAUGGCCUACCAAGGCGAUGAUGGGUAGCGGGUGUGAGAGCAUGACCCGCCUCACUGGGACUGAGACACUGCCCAGACACCUACGGGUGGCUGCAGUCGAGAAUCUUCGUCAAUGGGCGCAAGCCUGACCGAGCGAUGCCGCGUGCGGGAUGAAGGCCUUCGGGUUGUAAACCGCUGUCGAGGGGGAGCAACUUCCAUAGAGUUAUCUUUAUGGAUUGAGUGAUCCCUGGAGGAAGGACGGGCUAAGUUCGUGCCAGCCGCCGCGGUAAGAC
rnacentral:rRNA from 1 species